GGGUUGUGAGGUUAAGCGACUAAGCGUACACGGUGGAUGCCCUGGCAGUCAGAGGCGAUGAAGGGCGUGCUAAUCUGCGAUAAGCGCCGGUAAGGUGAUAUGAACCGUUAUAACCGGCGAUACCCGAAUGGGGAAACCCAGUGUGACUCGUCACACUAUCAUUAACUGAAUCCAUAGGUUAAUGAGGCGAACCGGGGGAACUGAAACAUCUAAGUACCCCGAGGAAAAGAAAUCAACCGAGAUUCCCCCAGUAGCGGCGAGCGAACGGGGAGGAGCCCAGAGCCUGAAUCAGCAUGUGUGUUAGUGGAAGCGUCUGGAAAGGCGCGCGAUACAGGGUGACAGCCCCGUACACAAAAGCGCAUGUGCUGUGAGCUCGAUGAGUAGGGCGGGACACGUGGUAUCCUGUCUGAAUAUGGGGGGACCAUCCUCCAAGGCUAAAUACUCCUGACUGACCGAUAGUGAACCAGUACCGUGAGGGAAAGGCGAAAAGAACCCCGGCGAGGGGAGUGAAAAAGAACCUGAAACCGUGUACGUACAAGCAGUGGGAGCCCCACCACCAAAGCAUUUGCUGUACCGCGUUGACGGAGCGAAGCGAC
rnacentral:rRNA from 1 species